AGAGUUUGAUCCUGGCUCAGAACGAACGCUGGCGGCGUGUCUAAUACAUGCAAGUCGAACGAGAAAGCCCGGCUUCGGCUGGGUGAGUACAGUGGCGAACGGGUGAGUAACACGUGGGCAAUCUUCCCUUUUGUCUGGGAUAAGCUCGGGAAACUGAGUCUAAUACCGGAUAAUACCUCGAGGCGACAUCGUCCCGAGGUCAAAGGCGGGGCAACCUGCCGCAGAAGGAUGAGCCCGCGGUCCAUUAGCUUGUUGGUGAGGUAACGGCCCACCAAGGCGACGAUGGAUAGCCGGCCUGAGAGGGUGAACGGCCACACUGGGACUGAGAUACGGCCCAGACCCCUACGGGAGGCAGCAGUAGGGAAUAUUGCGCAAUGGGCGAAAGCCUGACGCAGCGACGCCGCGUGGGUGAUGAAGCUCUUUGGAGUGUAAAACCCUGUCAGUGGGGAAGAACCGCAUGGGGAGUAACUGCUUCAUGCCUGACGGUACCCACAGAGGAAGCUCCGGCUAACUCCGUGCCAGCAGCCGCGGUAAUACGGGGGGAGCGAGCGUUGUUCGGAUUUACUGGGCGUAAAGGGCGCGUAGGCGGGUCUUCAAGUCGAAUGUGAAAUCCGACGGCUUAACCAUCGGCCUGCAUUCGAUACUGGAGACCUUGAGUACGGGAGAGGAAAGUGGAAUUCCUGGUGUAGCGGUGAAAUGCGUAGAUAUCAGGAGGAACACCGGUGGCGAAGGCGGCUUUCUGGCCCGAUACUGACGCUGAGGCGCGAAGGCCGGGGGAGCAAACAGGAUUAGAUACCCUGGUAGUCCCGGCGGUAAACGAUGGACACUAGGUGUUGGAGGUAUCGACCCCUUCAGUGCCGCAGCUAACGCAUUAAGUGUCCCGCCUGGGGAGUACGGCCGCAAGGCUGAAACUCAAAGGAAUUGACGGGGGCCCGCACAAGCGGUGGAGUAUGUGGUUUAAUUCGAAGCAACGCGCAGAACCUUACCUGGGUUUGACAUGUACCGGACAGUGGCUGAAAGGUCAUCUUCCCUUCGGGGAUCGGUAUACAGGUGCUGCAUGGCUGUCGUCAGCUCGUGCCGUGAGGUGUUGGGUUAAGUCCCGCAACGAGCGCAACCCCUGUCCUUAGUUGCCAUCAGGUUAUGCUGGGAACUCUAAGGAGACUGCCGGUGAUAAGCUGGAGGAAGGUGGGGACGACGUCAAGUCCUCAUGGCCCUUACACCCAGGGCUACACACGUACUACAAUGGUCGGCACAGAGGGCUGCAAUGCCGCGAGGUGGAGCCAAUCCCUAAAGCCGGCCUCAGUUCAGAUUGGAGUCUGCAACUCGACUCCAUGAAGGUGGAAUCGCUAGCAAUCGCGAAUCAGCAGGUCGCGGUGAAUACGUUCCCGGGCCUUGUACACACCGCCCGUCAAGCCACGGAAGUUGGGGGUACCCGAAGUCGUUUGCCUAACCGCAAGGAGGGCGGCGCCUAAGGUAAAACCGAUGACUGGGCUAAGUCGUAACAAGGUA
rnacentral:rRNA from 1 species